rnacentral:rRNA from 1 species
UACGGAGGGUGCGAGCGUUGUCCGGAAUCAUUGGGCGUAAGGGCGCGUAGGCGGUGCGGUAAGUCACCUGUGAAAUCUCCUGGCUCAACUGGGAGCUUGCAGGCGAAACUGCCGUGCUGGAGUGUGGGAGAGGUGCGUGGAAUUCCUGGUGUAGCGGUGAAAUGCGCAGAUAUCGGGAGGAACACCAGUAGCGAAGGCGGCACUCUGGGCCGUGACUGACGCUGAGGAGCGAAAGCGUGGGUAGCAACAGG